rnacentral:misc_RNA from 1 species
UUGUCGAAUCCUGCAAAAGCAGACCGCGAACACGUUAAACCAUAUUGGGACCGCGGGUUUYGGGGAGACCCUUUGCCCGCGGCCAUCUCCCGCUCAGCGGGCGCUUAGGCGCGCGUGGUGCGGGCUAACGAACCCCGGCGCGGCAUGCGCCAAGGAAAACUAACAGAAGUUUCGAUCUCCCAUUGCCCCGUUCGCGGUGUGCGGUGGGGGAAUGAUGUMUCUUCAAUGUCAUAAUGACUCUCGGCAACGGAUAUCUCGGCUCUCGCAUCGAUGAAGAACGUAGCGAAAUGCGAUACUUGGUGUGAAUUGCAGAAUCCCGUGAACCAUCGAGUCUUUGAACGCAAGUUGCGCCCGAAGCCAUUCGGCUGAGGGCACGUCUGCCUGGGCGUCACGCAUCGCGUCGCCUCCCCCAUCUACUCCACAUGUUGGGAUUGGGUGUCGGUAGCGGAAAUUGGCCCCCCGUGCGUUUUUUCGUGCGGCCGGCCUAAAUGUGAACCCGUGGCGACUCGCGUCACGACCAGUGGUGGUUGAACACUCAACUCUCGUGCUGUCGUGCCGUUUUGAGUUGGCCAUCGGGCUUUGUCGCAGACCCAAUGGCGCGAGCCAAUCGCGCCUUCGACCGCGACCCCAGGU